rnacentral:rRNA from 1 species
UACGUAGGGUGCAAGCGUUGUCCGGAAUUAUUGGGCGUAAAGAGCUCGUAGGCGGCUUGUCACGUCGAUUGUGAAAGCCCGAGGCUUAACCUCGGGUCUGCAGUCGAUACGGGCUAGCUAGAGUGUGGUAGGGGAGAUCGAAUUCCUGGUGUAGCGGUGAAAUGCGCAGAUAUCAGGAGGAACACCGGUGGCGAAGGCGGAUCUCUGGGCCAUUACUGACGCUGAGGAGCGAAAGCGUGGGGAGCGAACAGG